ACGGCUCAGUAACACGUAGUCAACCUGCCCUGGAGACAUGGACAACCCCGGGAAACUGGGAUUAAUCCGUGAUAGGUCAUCUCAUCUGGAAGGAGAGAUGGCUUAAAGGGGUACGCGGGCUUCUUCUGCGUAUUCGCUCCAGGAUGGGACUGCGACCGAUCAGGCUGUUGGCGGGGUAAUGGCCCACCAAACCUGUAACCGGUACGGGCCUUGAGAGAGGUGGCCCGGAGAUGGACACUGAGAGAAGGGUCCAGGUCCUACGGGGCGCAGCAGGCGCGAAACCUUCGCAAUGCGCGAAAGCGUGACGAGGUUAAUCCGAGUGGCCUCCGCUGAGGAGGUCUUUUGUCAGCUGUAAAUAGGCGGGCGAAUAAGGGGAGGGCAAGCCUGGUGUCAGCCGCCGCGGUAAUACCAGCUCCUCGAGUGGUCGGGGCGAUUAUUGGGCCUAAAGCAUCCGUAGCCGGUUCCGUAGGUCCUCUGUUAAAUCCAACCGCUUAACGGUUGACCUGCAGAGGAUACCGCGGGACUAGGAGGCGGGAGAGGCGGACGGUACUCCGCGUGUAGGGGCAAAAUCCUUUGAUCCGCGGAAGACCACCAGUGGCGAAGGCGGUCCGCCAGAACGCGCUCGACGGUGAGGGAUGAAAGCUGGGGGAGCGAACCGGAUUAGAUACCCGGGUAGUCCCAGCCGUAAACGAUGCUAGCUAGAUGAUUCAUUCGCAAGUCGCGAAUGAAGUGUCGCAGGGAAGCCGUUAAGCUAGCCGCCUGGGGAGUACGGUCGCAAGACUGAAACUUAAAGGAAUUGGCGGGGGAG
rnacentral:rRNA from 1 species